rnacentral:rRNA from 1 species
UACGUAGGGCGCGAGCGUUGUCCGGAUUUAUUGGGCGUAAAGAGCUCGUAGGCGGCUUGUCGCGUCGAAUGUGAAAACUCGGGGCUCAACUCCGAGCUUGCAUUCGAUACGGGCAGGCUAGAGUUCGGUAGGGGAGACUGGAAUUCCUGGUGUAGCGGUGAAAUGCGCAGAUAUCAGGAGGAACACCGGUGGCGAAGGCGGGUCUCUGGGCCGAUACUGACGCUGAGGAGCGAAAGCGUGGGGAGCAAACAGG